GAUGAACGCUGGCGGCGUGCCUAAUACAUGCCAGUCGAGCGAACGGACGAGAAGCUUGCUUCUCUGAUGUUAGCGGCGGACGGGUGAGUAACACGUGGAUAACCUACCUAUAAGACUGGGAUAACUUCGGGAAACCGGAGCUAAUACCGGAUAAUAUUUUGAACCGCAUGGUUCAAAAGUGAAAGACGGUCUUGCUGUCACUUAUAGAUGGAUCCGCGCUGCAUUAGCUAGUUGGUAAGGUAACGGCUUACCAAGGCAACGAUGCAUAGCCGACCUGAGAGGGUGAUCGGCCACACUGGAACUGAGACACGGUCCAGACUCCUACGGGAGGCAGCAGUAGGGAAUCUUCCGCAAUGGGCGGAAGCCUGACGGAGCAACGCCGCGUGAGUGAUGAAGGUCUUCGGAUCGUAAAACUCUGUUAUUAGGGAAGAACAUAUGUGUAAGUAACUGUGCACAUCUUGACGGUACCUAAUCAGAAAGCCACGGCUAACUACGUG
rnacentral:rRNA from 1 species